GUAUCUGCCAGAGAAGGGGAGAGAAGCACAGAGGAGUCGUGAGUACACUUGUUUCUCACCUCGCUGCCAAGCAGCAGUUGCACACGUGUGCCUGACAUUUGGCUUCUGCUGCGCAGCCUAACAGAUAGAUACCCUCUCCUGGCAGCGUGACCGGGCUGUGUGGAUCAAGACAGCGUAGCUGAGUACACGCACGUGGGAACAUUUUCUAGUCCACUUGACUGUUUAUUCCUGCCUCUGCCAUCUGCAACGCGUCUUCUGGCUGGGAGGAGGGGUAACUCCUUAGUGCCAUAUCUGGACUGUUUCCCUUCUUUUCGUGUUUACAGAAGCAAGAGAAUUCUUGAAAAAAGCUCUCUGCCAUUACUUCUCUCCUGGGCUAUUAGAGAUUCAUCUUCCCCAUCCAUCUGUAUUUUCUGGGCUUCCCAUAUGCUUGACGCAUUAACCGGGCCUGCCCAUACGGUACCAAUUGGUUUAUGUUUCCUGGGAGAAUUUCCCAUGUUAACUUUGCUUCCAGCCAGCCUGCCAGGCGGCCACACGCUGGUCACAUCAACCUUGUCACACUUAAGGGGAUUGCAGGCCAAGAGGCACAUGAAUAAGUGAAGACCUACUUCCCAGCCCCCCUGAGCUCGUCCAGCAGGCACGGCAGCCUCUCAUCGCCAUGGCACCAUCCCCAGAGAAAGAACUGAAGACAUCACCCAGAGGCUCCGAAGACCUGGAUUAUGUUCAUAAGCACUGAACACAACAGACCGACACGCAGCCCAGGCCCUGCAGGGCAGACAGUCCCGCCGUGCUGCUCGGGGCACUGGGACGGGCAGCGGGCUUGGGCUUAGGACCGUCCCUGCGGCAAAGGAGCCUGGUGCCAUAAAGCCACCAGAGCCAGUUCGGUGCCAUCUGCUCCUCUGUUCUUUCCAGAGGACGUUCAUGGAAAUGCUGCUGGAGAUGGGGCACAGGUACGGACGAGUCAUUAUAUCUGCUUCAUUGAAAACAGCCUUUAUGGACACAGGACUGACAUCACCGGCUGGUCUGGACAGACUCACGGACCAGCAUUCUAAUGUAUGCACACACAUGCACACAAAGCUAAGUGCCAGGGACUUUGUACAUACGAUCUUGUUCUGCAACAAAUCAAAACUUCUUACCUGUGCAUUUUAACAAGGCCAAAAGCAGCUGAUUCUUCCCAUCUAGAACAGUGAAGAAAAGCAAUGUCCUCGUUAACACGAUCCCAAGGGAGAUUUGAGUGCAUUUGGUUAAGUUCUCUCAUUCCCCACCAUCCCUGCCCCCUGCACGGCCAUUUCUAUUUACUCUGGCAGCCCUUGUUCGCACAGACAUUUUAAUGACUGAAAAAGAAACAAGGUGAGAUUUUACCAUAUAGCACCAGGUCUCUUCAACCAAUAACCUGUUUUACCUGUUCUUCUCCAGAGGCCAGUGCAGCCUUAGUACAAAUUGAGAUUAAAUGAUAAAAUGAUAAAACGAACUGCUAGACCUGAUUAGAUCGAGAUCUUUUCUCCCUGAAGCCAAUAACAACCUCUGAAUUUACAGACCUUCCACGUGUUUCUGUAUGAUUUCAACAAGGUUCUUGAUGCGCAGUGGAAGGUUCCACGGAUCUUCUUGAAUGCUGGCUUGAAUAUUAUUCCGGCACCUCACUGUGGUUUCUUCCUUCUGCUUAAAUUCUAGAAAAAACAGACUUUGUUAGCGAUUAAGGAAAUGCUACAUAGCUGAGAGCGGCUUAUGAGUUCCAGCGUGUACACAGAUGAGAGCAGAGACACAGUAUCAACAGCAGCAGCUGUGAAGGAAGCGUUCUUAAACAGAUCUAAUAGAGAAGGAAAAAGGCAGUUCCCGUAGUCUCACACUCAGCAGUAAGUCUCCUGGCGUUGUUUUCGCAGUCAGUCUCCUGGCGUUGUUCCAGAGUGGGAAGUUAGGUGCACGGGGGCAGGCGCAGCAAAGGAGCUCGCACAGCAGCACACAACCCCCUGGCUUCUCUGCCUUCGGUAACACGGGCAGCUCUGUCGCCGGCCUGGAGUCUGCCUGCGCGGAAUCACAUCAGCGUUUUGGCUGCAGAUGUCACACCCCAUAAUACUGAUGAGAUAUGAAAUAUUCUGCUUGCUUUCACCUGGUGGAAGCUAAUUAUUUAAUUACAGAGUAGAUUUAUUCUCCACGGCUUAGCUAUGUAGCUAAGCCAAAUACCCCGUUGUUGGCGAUAAAAUGCAUAAGCAGACAGAGAAACACAGAGAAACUGAGCCAAACAACCGCCGGUGAACAGAAACGGGGCGGCGUGCCCGCGGACACCCGUCGCUGCCACGCUGUGCGGUGGCUGCUGGACAGACAGCCCAGACCGGGCUCCGGCCGACCGUCCGCGGGCUUGUCUGCUCCUCAGUGUGACCAACGGGGCUCAGUUAACUUCACUAGAAGACUCUCUCAGUGUAAUUAAUGAGACCGGUCAAGGAAAAUGAAAUAAAGGAAGUGAACACA